rnacentral:rRNA from 1 species
GUGAACGCUGGCGGUAUGGAUAAGGCAUGCAAGUCGAACGGGUUUAGACCCGUGGCAGACGAGGUAGUAACACGUAGGAACGUCCCCGGAAGUCGGGCAUAUUCCGUCGAAAGACGGUGCAAUUCCCGAUGGUCUCGUAAGAGUAAAGAUUUAUCGCUUCCGGAGCGGCCUGCGUAAUAUCAGCUAGUUGGUGAGGUAAUGGCUCACCAAGGCUAUGACGUUUAGGGGACCUGAGAGGGUGACCCCCACCGAUGAGACUGAGACACGGCUCAUACCCCUACGGGGGGCCGCAGCCGAGAAUAUUCGACAAUGGGCGAAAGCCUGAUCGAGCGAUACCGCGUGGUGGAUGAAGCGCUUCGGCGCGUAAACAUCUUUUAUGAGGGAAGAAGUUAUUGACAUUACCUCAUGAAUAAGGGGCUCCUAACUCUGU